rnacentral:rRNA from 1 species
GUAGGGUGCAAGCGUUAAUCGGAAUUACUGGGCGUAAAGCGUGCGCAGGCGGUUUUGUAAGUCUGUUGUGAAAUCCCCGGGCUCAACCUGGGAAUGGCAAUGGAGACUGCAAGGCUAGAGUUUGGCAGAGGGGGGUAGAAUUCCACGUGUAGCAGUGAAAUGCGUAGAUAUGUGGAGGAACACCGAUGGCGAAGGCAGCCCCCUGGGUCAAAACUGACGCUCAUGCACGAAAGCGUGGGGAGCAAACAGGAUUAGAUACCCUGGUAGUCCACGCCCUAAACGAUGUCUACUAGUUGUCGGGUCUUAAUUGACUUGGUAACGCAGCUAACGCGUGAAGUAGACCGCCUGGGGAGUACGGUCGCAAGAUUAA